rnacentral:rRNA from 1 species
ACGACGUUGUUGUCGCCUUAGUAGCGGCGAGUGAAGCGGCAAAAGCUCAAAUUUGAAAUCUGGCUCUUUCAGAGUCCGAGUUGUAAUUUGAAGAAGGUAUCUUUGGGUCUGGCUCUUGUCUAUGUUUCUUGGAACAGAACGUCACAGAGGGUGAGAAUCCCGUGCGAUGAGAUGAUCCAGGCCUAUGUAAAGUUCCUUCGAAGAGUCGAGUUGUUUGGGAAUGCAGCUCUAAGUGGGUGGUAAAUUCCAUCUAAAGCUAAAUAUUGGCGAGAGACCGAUAGCGAACAAGUACAGUGAUGGAAAGAUGAAAAGAACUUUGAAAAGAGAGUGAAAAAGUACGUGAAAUUGUUGAAAGGGAAGGGCUUGAGAUCAGACUUGGUAUUUUGUAUGUUACUUCUUCGGGGGUGGCCUCUACAGUUUAUCGGGCCAGCAUCAGUUUGGGCGGUAGGAGAAUUGCGUUGGAAUGUGGCACGGCUUCGGUUGUGUGUUAUAGCCUUCGUCGAUACUGCCAGCCUAGACUGAGGACUGCGGUUUAUACCUAGGAUGUUGGCAUAAUGAUCUUAAGUCGC